GACGAACGCUGACGGUGUGCUUUAGACAUGCAAGUCGAACGCGAAAGCCCUUCGGGGUUAGUAGAGUGGCGAACGGGUGAGUAACACGUGGGCAAUCUGCCCCUCGCAGGGGGACAACCGGAGGAAACUCCGGCUAAUACCCCGUACGCUUGCUGGACCGCAUGGUCCGGCAAGGAAAGGUAGCUUCGGCCAUCCGGCGAGGGAUGAGCCCGCGGUGCAUUAGCUAGUUGGUGAGGUAACGGCNCACCAAGGCAACGAUGCAUAGCUGGUCUGAGAGGAUGAUCAGCCACACUGGGACUGAGACACGGCCCAGACUCCUACGGGAGGCAGCAGUCGGGAAUCUUGCGCAAUGGGCGAAAGCCUGACGCAGCAACACCGUGUGAGCGGACGAAGGCCUUCGGGUCGUAAAGCUCUGUUGUUGGGGACGAGGGCGACGGGUUAAUAGCCCGAGCCUGACGGUACCCUUCGAGGAAGCCCCGGCUAACUACGUGCCAGCAGCCGCGCGGU
rnacentral:rRNA from 1 species